rnacentral:rRNA from 1 species
GGAUCAUUACAGGACUCGCAAGACUCCUACAACCCUGUGAACUCACUAUAACCACGUUGCUUCGGCGGGUGUCGCGGCGGGGGUCCCCCCCACCGCGGCGCGCAGCCCGCCGGCAGCCUACCAUACUCUGUCUCUUUGCGUUGGCAUCUCGAGGAAAAGCAAACAAGUUAAAACUUUCAACAACGGAUCUCUUGGUUCUGGCAUCGAUGAAGAACGCAGCGAAAUGCGAUAAGUAAUGCGAAUUGCAGAAUUCCGUGAGUCAUCGAAUCUUUGAACGCACAUUGCGCCCGCCAGCAUUCUGGCGGGCAUGCCUGUUCGAGCGUCAUUUCAACCCUCAGGCCCUGCCUGGCGUUGGAGGACUGCGCACCGCAGCCUCCCAAAGCGAGCGGCGGCGGCGCCCCGAAACCGAACGCAGUAGUUACCUCUCGUUCUGGGUCCGGGUCGUUGUCCUGCCGGAAAACCCCCAUCUUUACAAUGGUUGACCUCGAAUCAGGUAGGAAUACCCGCUGAACUUAAGCAUAUCAAUAAGCGGAGGA